GGCAGUUUAGUUUAAUCUGUCUAAAACACCCUGAUUCGCAAUCACGAAGGUGUGAGUUCGAGUCUUAUAGCUGACC
rnacentral:tRNA from 1 species